UUUACUAACGAUAAUAAUUUUCAAAAGAGAGUAUUUAUGGUCAGAUUGAAAGAACGUUGUUUUAUAAAUGCCAACUUACACUAGACUAUUUAUAUUUUAGAGAAAAUAUGCUAUAAAUACCUGUAUAAAAUUUCAGACGUGUCUGGAUUGUAACUCACCAUAUGUUAUAUUCAAUAGGCCAUUGUGCCAACACCUGGCAGAUUGUGAGCCCCUUUUAGGAUUCAAAUUAGCAGUAAAAAACAGUUCAGGUGAUUCAUCCUUUUAAAAUGAAUUUAUUUAUAUCUAUGUGAAUGUUGAGUAAAAAUAUCAGGCCUUUUUUUCAGGGAAAAGUAUCUUUUCAAAAACCUUUUUAUUUUCUAGCUUUCGGGCACGAACGUCCUUCUACAGAAGAAAUCACACACACACAAAAGCCUUUAUUAGGGACUUACCCCAUACAGAUUCUCCCAAUUGAGUAAGGUAAUGAUCACAUCUUGUAUUAUUUACAUAGAAAUUAAACUGGCUUUACUCUUCGUCUCAAAGUCAUUCACUUGUUGACUGGUCCUCACAUAAUCUACAGAAGAAAACAUGAUAUAAUGAUUCGCCAAUACAACACGAGUUGAAAUAUUAUCGGAUAUUAUUUACAUAAUUUUAUUAAAAUUCUGUAGAUAUAAAAUUUUAAUAUCGAAAGCUAGAGAUAAAAAAGGUUUUUGAAAAUAUACUUUUACCUGGUAAUUUUUUACUAAAUAUUGAUAGAAGGUAUUAUUUUAUUGAAUAAUCUUUUUGAAAUUGACGUUAUGUGGCGCUGAGCUUGUUUUUGACACACAUUAAUAUGUUAUAAUACCUUGAAAAAGGUUGGCGUUUAGUCAGCUGAAGUAUUGGUAAAAUAAAUUAUAUGUUGAUCCAAUAUAUGCCUUUUUAAUUAUUGAAUAAUCUAUAAAUGAAUAUUAGAAAUUGAUUCAAAUUCUGUUUUUAUAUUAUUAUAUCUUAUUUCAGUGGCAGAAAUCGAGGAAGUAUUUUGAAGUUGAUGAAUUCUUCUUAAUAAAUAAAUAUUUAUCUUCGGUUGCUUAAAAUAAUCUUAAAAAACCCCCGUGGAAGUCCGACUUAGCUUCAGAUAAGCUUGAUCUUAACUAUGGAAACUGAUACCAUUGUUGCUGACCAUUACAUGGUUUCAUACCUGGCUGAUUUAAUUCAAUUCUCAAAUUCUUCUGAUUCCCUUAAAUUUGUAAACCAAAAUAUAAAAAGGCUUUCAAAUCUACCUGAAGAAUCCUAACUGCUUCUUAACAUUCUACUGGAUAUUUGAUCACAUACCUAACGCAUUAUUCGAUUUUCGAAUUCGAAUUGGUAAAAACCUCUAACCGUUACUUGACUGAAUAAUGAUAAAAAUAUAUUUAAAAAUAUAUGAGAUUUUAUUUUAUUUCAAUUUAAAGCGCUAUGUCCCCCUAGGGACACUUGCGCUGUCAUUCAUGCAUGCCUCUACAUUUGUCUAUACAUAAAUAUACAAUAAUUUUAGGCCGUGAAUAGAAUAGUCAUGUGAUAUUAACAAUGAGAAAGAGAGAAAAAACAAGAAAAAGUUCUGUAUAAUAUAAAUUAUCAGUUUCUUAAAAGAUAUUUGUUGCUAUAUAAUUUAAAAUAUAUCUACAAAAGGUAUUGAAUUUAAUAUAUAUUUUUUUCCUGGAAAUAAAAAUACUUGGAUAUGUUACUAUUAAAUUAUUGUUGAUUAUAUAGUCUUGAAAAACAGUAAGAAAUGUAUUGAUAUAUGAGAUUGACGACCUAAUACAGAUAAAAAGAUACAUGUAGUGGUCUGAGAGUUAAAUAUUUAUUUAAUUAAAAAAAAAAUUUAUGUUAGCUCUUUGUUUAAAAGCAGACAUUACAAAAUCGAACGCGAGCGAUAAACAAAUAACCUUUAUCUUCCUACAAUGAGAUUUGCGCAUCCGUUAUUACCAGUGUUGUCAGUCUUAUUUGUUGUUUAGGGGGCCUAUAUUAUAAAAUAAAUAACACUUUUUUAAUAUUUAAUUUCAAAUCUUGAAUUAUUGAAGGUUUGGUUACUUUUUGAUCGAACAUUGUAUUUAAAAAUCACCACCAUAUCUGAUGAUCGUUCCCUUAUCCACCACCUGGAGACUAGCCUGGUAGGAUUUAUUUAUCUUUCAAGUGUAAUAUCCACAGGAAGCGUAUACUAACCAUUUCAAUUUCCAUUUAUGCACCUUAUCCCAGUACAAUAUCACAUUUGUACUAUUUUUUCAUAGUUUUAUAUAAUUCAUUUCAUAAUGUAAAGUUGCUAGAGAAUGAUAUUUAUGCGACAAAAGAGACACCUAUCCAUAUAAAAAUACAUUGGCUUAAUGCAUUUUAAAGUGAAAGAGUUUUCUUUUUGGUAUAAUAUAUCGUAUUAUUUAAUCUACAAAUAGUAAUCUGUAAUAUAAAUUAUUAUAAAACACUUCUAUAUUCAUCUUAAUGCUUUGACACUGUAAAUUAAUAUUAUGGUAAUUUAUUGUGAAAAUUAAUUGAUUGAAAAAUAAUCGUAAUUGAAUAAACUAUUAGGUAUAUGGUCCCUUGACGUAUGCGAUAUCUUAUUUUUCGACUUUGUAAUUUGUCUGGCGAUAUUACACCACACUCAACUCUAUAUAUUCAUUUAUAAUUUAUUACAACUUAUUUUAUAUAUUCUCAAAACAAUAUAUUCCUUAACGCCAUUUUCAAUAUAUACAGUUAAUAUAUUAUUCUGUAGAUAUAUAAUCCUGAAAAUCAACGGAGAGAAAUGCUAUAAAAUGGAAUGUAGAAAGUGUCUAAUGGGAUUUUAAACUAAUUUCCUUUCUUUAUGUGUCCUGCAUAAUGUUGGUAAAUGUAUCAUCAAAGCAAGCCAGCUUGCCUCUCUUUCAAGCAAAAUUGUCCGCAAAAUAUUAUUUUGACUUCAUAAAUAUUUAUAACAGUAUUUUAAAAGAUCUCAUUUAGUGGAGAAAAUCGAUUUGUACCCACGAAAAUCUGCGAUUUUGUUUUAACGUUCCUUUAGAUAUAGAUUAUAUAUUCGUUGAAAUAUCUUUAAAGUUAAUACAGUUCUGUUUCUAUCUUCAGUUUUAACAAUGUUUUUUGUGAUAAUUUGAUUUUUUUAUAAGGAAGUAUACUAUAUGCACAUCUUAUAUGAAAUAUAAAAUAAUAUUUGAAAUUAAAUAUAAAUUUCACAAACAUUUUUUCAAAUUUAUGAGUAUGGUUUGUAAAUUUGUCUGUAUAUUGAAUGCUUGAUGUUGGUGUAAUAAGGAAGAUUAGAAAUAAAACAUAUAUUAAUUCGAAAAAAUAGUACAAAUAUGACAUUGUACUGUGAUAAUAUCACAUUUGUACUAUUUUUUUCACAUUGUUUCGCGGUCUCACGCAAUUCUGGCCUUAACUACCCGUUUCAUGAUUUUACAGGAUGCUCUGCCCUCCUUCAUUCAAUUUUUAAUAAAGGCAGAAUAAGGGCUGUAGCAAUAUAAUUUUAAUUAAAUAUACACUGUAUAACAAAAAAAUCGACGCACCAAGAAGUGGUUGUCAGAUUAGGACAAAAUUUGGUGUAUAUAAAGAGCAUAUAUAAGGGGGAAAACGAUUAAAAUUUCAGAACAAUUAAUUGUUUUAUUUCAGAGUUUGAUUGUCACAAAUUGAGAAUGUCAAUAUGUCGUUGGACCCCCACUGGCCUGGAUGCAGGCUGCCACUCGGCGUGUGAUGGACUGAUAAAGAUUCCGGAUGGUGUGUUGCGGGAUUUCUUGCCAAAUUGUCUCCAACUGUCGGGCUAAAUAGUCAACAUUUCGGGAUGGUUGCAAUCGCCUUCCCAUCACGUCACAGAUGUGCUCUAUGGGCGAGAGAUCAGGCGACCUUGCUGGCCACGGAAGAGUUCGGCAAGAUUGAAGUCAAUCCAUAGUAACACGUGCCGUGUGUGGCCGGGCAUUAUCUUGUUGAAAAGUAAGCCCGGGUGAUGUGAGUGGAACGGCAACAAAACAGGCCGUAGAAUGUCAUCUACGUACCGUUGUGCUGUCAGGGUGCCAGGAAUGACUACCAAUGGGGUCCUGCUAUCAAAUGAAAUGGCACCCCAGACCAUAACGCCCUGUUGUGGACCUGGGUGCUGUUCGACAGUAAGACCAGGAUCCACACGCUGCCCAGGACGUCUCCGGACACGUUUGCGACGGUCGUCAGGACACAGUAAGAAACGGGACUCGUCACUAAAGACUAUACGUCCCCAGUCAGCGCAGUUCCAAGUUGAUCGCUCCCGACACCACUGUAGUCGGACUUGUCGGUGCACGGGUGUGAGGGGUAGACAUCGUAACGGUCGGCGAGCUCUUAGAUUCCACUCUCUCAGUCGCCUGUUGAUGGUCAUUUUGGACACUUGUGUGCCGGUCACACGUUGGAUGGUAGAUAACGUGGAUUCCGGUGCUGCGACAGCCAUUCUGACAAUUGUUUUGUCCUCCCGUUCUGUUGUUGCCCUUGGUCGACCGCUGCCGUCCUGACGUUGCAUAUUUCCGUUGUUGACUCACUUUUGCCAACAUGGCCUAAUAGCCGCAUCACUUCGACACAGAUGUCGCGCGAUUAGUCGAUUAGACCAACCAGCCUCUUUCAAUCCAAUGGCACGACCAGUUUCAAACUCCGACAUAUGUUCGUAAUGAGCACGAAUCUUUCGGCGAGGCAUUGAUACAGUAGAAAUAGGCGUAUUGCUAAAUUAUUAAAAGGAAAUUAUGAAAAUCAGCUCGUGCCGCGCCGAAUAUUGAGUCUAGAAUGCUCGUGCUGGAUGCGCAGUUCAGAUGCUUUGGAGCUCUUGCUUUGCAUAAAUCGGCCACCAAAUUUCAAUCAUUUGCAUGUUUGGUCGAAACCUCUUUGUAUACGUAUUUUCAUAUAAAUUGGACAACUGUUUCUUGGUGCGUCGAUAUUUUUGUUAUAGAGUUUAUUUUAAAAGUAAAAAUAUAUGUUAUCGUUAAAAUUAUGUUUAUACCUUUUGAGUUUAUCCUUAUAUAUAAUUAUUUUAAAUUAAUUUUACAAAACACUAUAUAUAAUUUGUUUUGAAAAUAGAGCAAUCCAUAAAUAAAUCUUCAAUUAAAAAGAAUAUAUUGGAUCAAAAAAUCAUAUAUAUUUAAUAGGUUGUUGAAACACAUUAAUAUGAUAUAAUACCUUGAUAAAGGUUGGCUUUCAAACCAACUGAAAUAUUGGUAAAAUAAAUCAUUUUUUGAUCCAAUAUAUGCCUUUUUAAUUAAACUAUAUAUAAUGUGAAAAAAAUAGUACAAAUGUGAUUUUGUAUUGGGAUAAGGUGCAUAAAUUAAGAGAGAAACAAAAAGCAUUUUCUUAUCGUUCAACUGAAAGACAUCAGCAACUUUCAGUUACACGAUAAGGGGAUUCCUUUUUUCUUUCCUACUAUAUAUAAUAUUCAUUUUCCCCCCAUUGAAUAUAACAAAAUAUUUUAAAAACUUAAUUUUGUUGACGUUAUGUGGCGCUGAGUUUGUUGUUGACACACAUUAAAUAUGUUUUAACACCUUGAUAAAGGUUGGCGUUCAGCCAACUGAAAUAUUGGUAAAAUAAAUGAUUUUUUGAUCCAAUAUAUGCCUUUUUAAUUAAAGAUUACAUAAUAUUCUUUUCUUCUUUUACUCGGUAUAUAUAAAUAGUUGAAAAUUUUCAGUAUUUUAGUAUAUAGUGAAUAUAAGUAGAAACAAUAAUACAAUAAUAGAUUUUCCUUUAAGAACGUUUCAGGGAGACGCUAAAAUGUCGAAAAAAAAAGAAAGGAGGAAAAUAAAUUGAAUGGUAUAAAGAGCGGUUGAUGAAAACUAUAUUUUUCAAAAAAUCCCAAACACCAAAUCAUUUUCCAUGUUGAACAAAAUAUUCCUUUUUCUUACCAAUUACCCAGAGUAGAGGUUCAGGUAUCAGUGCUGGGUCUUAGGUUUCUAUAUUUUUAUUUUGUAAGUGGAAGAUAAUUAUGGGCUCAUUUUUGUAAAAAAAAUAUAGAUAUUUUUCUGUGAGAUUUUAUCAUAGAAGAUGAAGAAAUACUUUGUUUUGGUGCAGUUUUACUGCCUAUUUCUGCAUAUACUCUCUCUCUCUGCACAUAAUAUUAUAACAUCUUAAAAGGUUUUGGGACAUAUAAUAUUUGUAUGAAUUCACCAUAUUUUUUUUGUUAUAAAUUUUAUUUUUAAUAAAUAUUUUCGAAAAUUUUCAGAAUACUUUGAUUUUUUCUAUCAUGUUUCUCUCAGAAGCUUACUAUUCAGACGUAUAUAAUAAUAGUUUAAAAUAUUAAUAUACCCCAAAAAUUAAAGUUUUAUUAUUUAAUAAGAUUUAUUAUAAAAAAGUGUGUGUGUAUAGAAUGAAAACUCUUCCCAAUAAGAAAUCGAUGAAAAUUUCGGGUAUUAACUGCAUCUAACUAUAGAUUCACACUCUCGAAGACAGAAUUUGAGGAAGUUGUACCUUUAGCAUGUAUAUCGGGAUUCAGACAAUAACUCUGAAAGAUAUUACAGUGACCUUUAUUGAAGACACACGAGAUAACUACACUCAUGGACAAAAAUUAAGGAAGUUGUACCUUUAGCAUGUAUAUCGGGAUUCAGACAAUAACUCUGAAAGAUAUUACAGUGACCUUUAUUGAAGACACACGAGAUAACUACACUCAUGGACAAAAAUUAGGGAAGUUGUACUUUUAGCAUGUAUAUCGGGAUUCAGACAAUAAUUCUGAAAGAUAUUUGAUACACGAUGACCUUUAUUGAAGACAUAUCAGAUAACCAAGUUGAUUUUGUGACAUAUUCACUGAACAGAAACAUCUCAAGCUGCGUAUAUUUAUCAAAUGAAAACAUUCUAUAGUAAUUUCAGAAAGGAAAGUUGCUUAUUGUAGAAUAUAUAUAUUUACAAUCUCUUUCAAUUUGACAAUAUAUGAAAAAACUAGAGUUUUAGUUGAUAUGACAGCUAGAGAAAGGAUUCCAAAAAUAUUAAAUUGUUCUAUUCCGCCGCUAUAUCGACCAGGACGUGGUGGGUAAUACGAUAUGAGUCUACUUAAAGUAGAUUCAAUCUCCAUUACUGAAGACAUUUUCCAGUAAAUAUAAGGAUUCUUUCCCUUGAAAUAGAAUAAAGGGAUUCACUUGGGUAUACAAAGUUGAGCUGUAGAAUUUUGUGAAGUAUACAGAGAGAAUAAAACUAGGAAAAACCUUUUAUACUUCAUUUAACUUCACAAAAUAUAAUAAAAACUACCCAUUUUAUGUUCAUAUACGUCGUAGGUUAUAUGUGUGUGUGAUUCAUUCAUUUAAUUAUUCACAAAUAAAAAGGUAUAUAUUGGAUAAAAUAUCAUUUACCAAUAUUUGAGUUGGAUGAACGCCAACGUUUAUCAAGGUGUUAUAACAUAUUUUAUGUGUGUCAACAAUUAUAUACCUUUUUUAAUAAAAUAUUUAUUUAUGGAUUUCUCUACUUUCAAAAAUUAUUACUAAUAUUUCAGUUUGCUGAAAACGCCAACAUUUUUCAUUAAUUAUACUAUAUGAAUUCAGUUUUUUUU